rnacentral:rRNA from 1 species
UCCUGACUGACCGAUAGUGAACCAGUACCGUGAGGGAAAGGCGAAAAGAACCCCGGCGAGGGGAGUGAAAAAGAACCUGAAACCGUGUACGUACAAGCAGUGGGAGCACGCUUAGGCGUGUGACUGCGUACCUUUUGUAUAAUGGGUCAGCGACUUAUAUUCUGUAGCAAGGUUAACCGAAUAGGGGAGCCGAAGGGAAACCGAGUCUUAACUGGGCGUUAAGUUGCAGGGUAUAGACCCGAAACCCGGUGAUCUAGCCAUGGGCAGGUUGAAGGUUGGGUAACACUAACUGGAGGACCGAACCGACUAAUGUUGAAAAAUUAGCGGAUGACUUGUGGCUGGGGGUGAAAGGCCAAUCAAACCGGGAGAUAGCUGGUUCUCCCCGAAAGCUAUUUAGGUAGCGCCUCGUGAAUUCAUCUCCGGGGGUAGAGCACUGUUUCGGCAAGGGGGUCAUCCCGACUUACCAACCCGAUGCAAACUGCGAAUACCGGAGAAUGUUAUCACGGGAGACACACGGCGGGUGCUAACGUCCGUCGUGAAGAGGGAAACAACCCAGACCGCCAGCUAAGGUCCCAAAGUCAUGGUUAAGUGGGAAACGAUGUGGGAAGGCCCAGACAGCCAGGAUGUUGGCUUAGAAGCAGCCAUCAUUUAAAGAAAGCGUAAUAGCUCACUGGUCGAGUCGGCCUGCGCGGAAGAUGUAACGGGGCUAAACCAUGCACCGAAGCUGCGGCAGCGACGCUUAUGCGUUGUUGGGUAGGGGAGCGUUCUGUAAGCCUGCGAAGGUGUGCUGUGAGGCAUGCUGGAGGUAUCAGAAGUGCGAAUGCUGACAUAAGUAACGAUAAAGCGGGUGAAAAGCCCGCUCGCCGGAAGACCAAGGGUUCCUGUCCAACGUUAAUCGGGGCAGGGUGAGUCGACCCCUAAGGCGAGGCCGAAAGGCGUAGUCGAUGGGAAACAGGUUAAUAUUCCUGUACUUGGUGUUACUGCGAAGGGGGGACGGAGAAGGCUAUGUUGGCCGGGCGACGGUUGUCCCGGUUUAAGCGUGUAGGCUGGUUUUCCAGGCAAAUCCGGAAAAUCAAGGCUGAGGCGUGAUGACGAGGCACUACGGUGCUGAAGCAACAAAUGCCCUGCUUCCAGGAAAAGCCUCUAAGCAUCAGGUAACAUCAAAUCGUACCCCAAACCGACACAGGUGGUCAGGUAGAGAAUACCAAGGCGCUUGAGAGAACUCGGGUGAAGGAACUAGGCAAAAUGGUGCCGUAACUUCGGGAGAAGGCACGCUGAUAUGUAGGUGAAGUCCCUUGCGGAUGGAGCUGAAAUCAGUCGAAGAUACCAGCUGGCUGCAACUGUUUAUUAAAAACACAGCACUGUGCAAACACGAAAGUGGACGUAUACGGUGUGACGCCUGCCCGGUGCCGGAAGGUUAAUUGAUGGGGUCAGCGCAAGCGAAGCUCUUGAUCGAAGCCCCGGUAAACGGCGGCCGUAACUAUAACGGUCCUAAGGUAGCGAAAUUCCUUGUCGGGUAAGUUCCGACCUGCACGAAUGGCGUAAUGAUGGCCAGGCUGUCUCCACCCGAGACUCAGUGAAAUUGAACUCGCUGUGAAGAUGCAGUGUACCCGCGGCAAGACGGAAAGACCCCGUGAACCUUUACUAUAGCUUGACACUGAACAUUGAGCCUUGAUGUGUAGGAUAGGUGGGAGGCUUUGAAGUGUGGACGCCAGUCUGCAUGGAGCCGGCCUUGAAAUACCACCCUUUAAUGUUUGAUGUUCUAACGUGGACCCGUGAUCCGGGUUGCGGACAGUGUCUGGUGGGUAGUUUGACUGGGGCGGUCUCCUCCUAAAGAGUAACGGAGGAGCACGAAGGUUGGCUAAUCCUGGUCGGACAUCAGGAGGUUAGUGCAAUGGCAUAAGCCAGCUUGACUGCGAGCGUGACGGCGCGAGCAGGUGCGAAAGCAGGUCAUAGUGAUCCGGUGGUUCUGAAUGGAAGGGCCAUCGCUCAACGGAUAAAAGGUACUCCGGGGAUAACAGGCUGAUACCGCCCAAGAGUUCAUAUCGACGGCGGUGUUUGGCACCUCGAUGUCGGCUCAUCACAUCCUGGGGCUGAAGUAGGUCCCAAGGGUAUGGCUGUUCGCCAUUUAAAGUGGUACGCGAGCUGGGUUUAGAACGUCGUGAGACAGUUCGGUCCCUAUCUGCCGUGGGCGCUGGAGAACUGAGGGGGGCUGCUCCUAGUACGAGAGGACCGGAGUGGACGCAUCACUGGUGUUCGGGUUGUCAUGCCAAUGGCACUGCCCGGUAGCUAAAUGCGGAAGAGAUAAGUGCUGAAAGCAUCUAAGCACGAAACUUGCCCCGAGAUGAGUUCUCCCUGACCCUUUAAGGGUCCUGAAGGAACGUUGAAGACGACGACGUUGAUAGGCCGGGUGUGUAAGCGCAGCGAUGCGUUGAGCUAACCGGUACUAAUGAACCGUGAGGCUUAACCUUACAACGC